UGAGAUUGGAUCUCCCUGCUCAGGAGAGAUGAUGCCGGCCAAUCUCUCUGACACAUGGCCGGCAUCAUCUCUUCUAGGCCGGGACCAUCCCAUCACA
rnacentral:pre_miRNA from 1 species